rnacentral:rRNA from 1 species
UACGUAGGGUGCGAGCGUUAAUCGGAAUUACUGGGCGUAAAGCGUGCGCAGGCGGUCUGUUAAGACCGAUGUGAAAUCCCCGGGCUUAACCUGGGAACUGCAUUGGUGACUGGCAGGCUUUGAGUGUGGCAGAGGGGGGUAGAAUUCCACGUGUAGCAGUGAAAUGCGUAGAGAUGUGGAGGAAUACCGAUGGCGAAGGCGGCAUCCUGGACCAAUUCUGACGCUGAGGAGCGAAAGCCAGGGGAGCAAACGGG